AGAACCCGCACUCAGCUUUCACCAUCUCUCUACCAUCUCUGCUUUCUUCCAUCUCUGCUUCGCGCUCUUCAAUCUUUGCUUUGUCAUCUCUUCCUCCGUGAUUUCUUCACCAGCAACUUUGCUCAAGAUCUUUCCAAUUGAAAAAACCCAGAUCAUCAUCAUCUAUUCCUCAUCACCACAGCCGUCUGCUCUCUCUUCUUUCUUCGCCUCUGUUGGUCUCAAAGUGGAUAGUUUUGCGAGAAAAGAGAGAGAGAUGAGAGAAAUCAUAAGCAUUCAUAUUGAGCAUGCUGGAAUUCAUGUGGGCAAUUCAUGCUGGGAGCUCUACUGCCUCGAGCAUGGAAUUCAACCUGAUGGGCAGGUGCCCAGGUUGUUGAAAUUGAUACGUCCCAAGUCUGGUGAGAUUAGAGAUAGUAUCAAGGAACUGAAUAUGAUGCAACACAUCCAUUGCAGGUAACUGAAGCUGAUAUUGAACAUUGUCGAUUCAUCGGAACCUAUAUUCUUCUGCGUUUCCUCAAAAUCCAAGGUUUGGUGUUUUUGUGAUUUUGGGUUCGUAGGUUUUUCAGAUUUUGGGAGUUUGUUUGUAGGCUGCAAAAUCCUCUGUUCUCAAGAGGAUUCGAGCAUUAAUAUUGUCAGUAAUGGUGAGACUACUGGUUUUCCAGUCACCCCACAUAAUGAGCAGCUGAGUUAUGCAUCUACAAGCAAGAAAAGGCUGGAUACUAUUAGUGAUUUUGCCAAAGAAUCAAAACAAAGUGUUUUUAUUAUGGAUACUCACACAUUCGAGAUGUGUACCAGCUCAUUGAACAAGAGGACAUCUAGCAGUCCAAAGAAGCUCUCUCGGUGCAGCAUACACCUUCCUCAAUCAAAUUUUGACAAGGAUGAUCCAGUGAACAAUGGAAUUGGUGAUGAUCCAAAGAGUUAAACUGGUUUAAUUCUACUGAAAAUUGUGUGUUGAUGAUUGCUUCAGUCAAAUUCGAUAUUUUCGGUAGACUAGAGAUGGCUGCUAGAAAAUGUAUGAAUGUUCUCUAAACUAAAAUACACUUCUUAGAUUGCUGUGGUUACUGGUUUGAAUUUUCCUUAUUUACCUUGGUGCCUUUUAACUUUUGAGGUGAAAUUUGUUACGCGACUUCAUAACUUGCAAAUUUUGUUGAGUCAACAUUCAAUGCCCUUCCUUCGAAUCAAGUUAAAUGUAGGAUCGUACUCGGAGAAGUUUGUGAGGGGCCAAUGGGACAAGGAUUGCAAAAAUACAAGGCUUGCCUCUCAAGAUUGUAUUAAUUUCCCUUUGACUGGACAUUUGGGGUUUCUUUAGGGUUUUCGCUCGCCAGACAAUGAUAGGUGAAUCACCGCAAGCAACAGCAAUUAUGCUGCAAACUGAAUCCAAGAUGACUAACCUGGAGUCUUCAUGGUGGUCGCACCUCUCCUCAUCUUUGCUCCUCCUCUGAAACCCCUCUUUCAGGACCUAGGAAACAAGAAGCAAUGCAGAGGCACUGUUGGAGAGAUUGUGGACCUCUGUUAAAUCACAGUCUAGUGAAGGGAUUAGCCCGUCUAACUUUGUGUUUUAGAUGAAUCCGUUUUGGAUGGGGGAAAAUUUAAACCCAGAAAAAGUUGGGUUUCCUGGUGAGUUGUCCGGCAGAUUUCAGGUCACCAAUGAACAGGUUGAUCACAUCUUGAGUUUUCCAACUGAUUUAUUCAAUUCUAUCGGUUUUGAUUUUGUCCCUCCAUAACAUUUGCAGCACCAUUUGCCGUGCUCUCAUCAUAGCUUGGCUUUCAGUUCCUCAGGGGGAAUGGUGGAUGUGAGAGUCUCUUUUACAGCAAUUCAAAGGGAAGAGCUUGAGAGACAGUGGACUCUUCCCCUAUUCCUCCACAUUCCCUUUUCCCAAUUUCCAAGAACGCAUUAAAUUCCCUCAAAAUAUAAACCGAGGUAUGGAAAAGCUUUGAAUUCCUUGGUUUCCUCCAAUUAGUAUGCAGAACUCUCAAAAAAAAAUAAAGAAGUGAGGGUUGAAUGUCUACCCUCAUAUGUACACAGAGAGAUGGAAAAAAUUAGAAUGGUGAAGUGAGGGUUCAAUGACUUAUUUGGUUCUAUUUAAAUAAAGUUCGCUGAUUAGGUUGAUUUGUGUUGUGUACAUACACUUCUUGGCUUUAUUUCUGUUUGAUGGACUUAUUUGUUUGUGUAUUAGUUGUUGACAGAAUGGAUAGGGUGCCAGAAAGAAAGUUUUUGAUAGAAUUAGAGUUUGAUCUCUUCA